rnacentral:lncRNA from 1 species
CACAGACACAUUUUUAAUGGCAAAAGCGGCUGCAGCAGCCUGUGACAUCUCCUUAGGAUAAUAUGUGCUCACUUCCCAGUUUUUCCCUGUUGUCAACAUUCAAAAAAUAAAAAUAAUCAGAGAGAAUGACUCCAAGCUGUGUGGCUGUCAUUCUAUCGUGUAUCAUUGAGAUUUUCACUGUCUGUAAUCAUCUGUAAUGAAUAUUUUUAUUUAUUUUUUCGUAAAGACACUCUUCAGUUUCUGCCCUGCAUCCUGUCUGGAAGCCUUUGACUAACUUUUGUUACUCAUCGACGUGGAAAUGUAAAGACUGUGCCCAUACUUAUUCAAGACGAUCUGAACUCCUAAAACAUUACAAACUCGACCAUCAUCAUCCAUAUUCUCUGAUUUCAUUUUCAGAUAAAUGCAGACUUCUUGAGAGUUACAACAAUUCCUUUGGAGGCAAAGUUUUUUGCACAGUUGGACAAACACUCCACCAAACUUCAAGAGGUCAUCUGGAGCAAUGGAGGGCGUGUGAAAGAGCAGACCACCAACAUCUUAGAAGUUCUGGAUGAAGCGUCUGUAUGACAUGAGUGGUCCAUAGAGUAGUUGUGUGGUUAAGUGAACUUUUAACUAAUGAGAAGCGUUCUUUUUCAGAUUGUUGACAUUACCAUCAGAGGAGAAGCCAUCCUAAAAUCUCUGAUCUACUUGAGUGAAUCUUUUGAGCACCUCAUUAAAGAACACCAGAACGGGCUGGACAGUGAUGCUCCGCAGAUUGAAACCAUGGCGAUCUUUUCCACUGGGAGAGAGGAUCUUCUCCGUCCACCAACAGACAUCAAGAUAGUGAUGGAUGGAAAACAGGUUCUGAAUGAAGUGCCCUAUAUUUCAACCGCCUAUCUCAUGUUCUUGGAACUGACAUAUUCACUCAACCUAAAAUUUCCCAAAAAUCUGCAGUACACUCUUGAAUUCAUUCAAAAAGUCCUCAUGGAGCUUGGUGGGAAAAAAAGUGUCGCCAAAAGUUUUCAGACUGAACAGCCAGCUUUAAGUUAGUGUCAAUUAAUGUUUUUUUUUUCCCUCACUUCAGUGCAUUGGUAUUGGGAAACAGUUUUGAUGUUGAUACAUCUUAAAGAUGUCAUGUUUUUAAAUUUGGAUGUGGAUGUGUUCAUGGAACAAUAAAUAUUGUUUACAUGAAGAAAUGUGUUCUGAGUCUGUGUACAUCAAUAUAUAAUUCUAAAGCUUAAUUCAGUUAAUUAGAUUG